ACCAUAAUCAAUACGGUAAUCAAUCAUCCAAUUCUGAAGGGGGGAACUAUCCAUAACCAUAUCCAACUAUCCACAUUGAUUGCAUAUAAUUACCUUAAGGUAACUGUAGAAAACAAUUAAAUAAACCAUAGCUUUAACUACAAAAAAUAUCAAAGAACAGUGACAUCACAACAGAACAAAUAAACAAACAAAAAGUCCACAGAUUUUUGCACAGAGUGACAGAAUGAAGCACACCACCACUAAGUAUAAACAAAUCAAAAGCAACAGAGACUUUGACUCUUGAGAGGGGCAAAACGGGAACCCUUUUAAUAAUUAUUAGCUGAGAAAUACUGUCUGCAUUGUACAAGAUAUCCUUUGUCCAACUGUAAAGGGCCAAAAACCACCCCUUAUUACAUAAAAAAACAAAUCUGAUGAAAAAGAGAACAAAAGAGAAUUAAUCCCCUUUGGAAAUCAAGAUCCAUGAAAUGAGGAGAUCAGGCAAAAAAAACAGAGGAACCCAAUUCAGGUUUUCAGAUCUAUUGCUAGAUGGAAUCAAUAGAGGGGAGAAAUUCAGAGCAUACCUUUUUAUGAAGGGAGGGGAAAAGGGUGUGUUUUGGGUUGGUGUUCCUUCUCCGGCGGUCAGCUGGACGGUGGGGAAUUGUCGCCGGCGGCGAAGGGGAUGAAGGAGGGGGAGGGGGAAUUAUACAGAGGGGGAAAAGAGAGAGGAGAGAGGAAAAAGAAAAAUGUAGUUGGAGAGCUGGUACUUAUAGUGAGAGAAAUUUGGAGUGUGUAAGAAAAAAACCGAACCGGUUUGAGUUGGUGACGUGGC
rnacentral:lncRNA from 1 species